UACGUAGGGGGCGAGCGUUAUCCGGAAUUCCUGGGCGUAAAGCGCACGCAGGCGGUUCGCCAAGUUUGGAGUGACAGUUGUCGGCUCAACCGACAAAGGACUUCAAAAACUGGUGAACUUGAGGACGAGAGAGGAACAUGGAACUCCAGGUGUAGUAGUGAAAUGCGUAGAUAUCUGGAAGAACACCAAUGGCGAAGGCACUCUGCUGGGCCGACACUGACACUGAGAGACGAAAGCUAGGGGAGCGAAUGGG
rnacentral:rRNA from 1 species